rnacentral:rRNA from 1 species
AGGUGGCAAGCGUUGUCCGGAAUUAUUGGGCGUAAAGCGCGCGCAGGCGGUUUCUUAAGUCUGAUGUGAAAUCUCGUGGCUCAACCACGAACGGUCAUUGGAAACUGGGAAACUUGAGUACAGAAGAGAAGAGUGGAAUUCCACGUGUAGCGGUGAAAUGCGUAGAGAUGUGGAGGAACACCAGUGGCGAAGGCGACUCUUUGGUCUGUAACUGACGCUGAGGCGCGAAAGCGUGGGGAGCAA